rnacentral:rRNA from 1 species
CUGGCUCAGGACGAACGCUGGCGGCGUGCCUAAUACAUGCAAGUCGAGCGGACCUCUUCGGAGGUCAGCGGCGGACGGGUGAGGAACACGUGGGUAAUCUGCCUUUCAGACCGGAAUAACGCCCGGAAACGGGCGCUAAUGCCGGAUACGCCCGCGAGGAGGCAUCUUCUUGCGGGGAAAGGCCCAAAUGGGCCGCUGAGAGAGGAGCCCGCGGCGCAUUAGCUGGUUGGCGGGGUAACGGCCCACCAAGGCGACGAUGCGUAGCCGACCUGAGAGGGUGACCGGCCACACUGGGACUGAGACACGGCCCAGACUCCUACGGGAGGCAGCAGUAGGGAAUCUUCCGCAAUGGGCGCAAGCCUGACGGAGCAACGCCGCGUGAGCGAAGAAGGCCUUCGGGUUGUAAAGCUCUGUUGCUCGGGGAGAGCGGCAUGGGGAGUGGAAAGCCCCAUGCGAGACGGUACCGA